GGAAGCUUAAUGGUAAAGCACCCAACCAGCAAUUGGGGCUCUGGGUUCAAGUCCCGGUCCC
rnacentral:tRNA from 1 species